CAUUAUCCAACUUUUAGAGGUGAUGGAUCAUCUGCAUAGAGGGGAAUUGGUUGCUGCAAUACUUCGUAACCGGAGACGGAGGCAAUUGUCAUUAAAACAAGCCGAUUUCAAGGAUAUAUUCAAAAAAUCAACUUCAGGAUCUCUCGUGGAAGAGGAAGACCAACACAUGAAAUUGUCCCUUGGAGGCAGCGAAAUGGGCCUCUCAUCCCAUUUGCAGUCUUCCAAGGCAGGACCUACACGCAUCUUUACCAGCAAUACCCACAGUUCUGUGGUGUUACAGGGCUUUGACCAGCUUCGACUUGAAGG
rnacentral:lncRNA from 1 species